rnacentral:rRNA from 1 species
UGGGGAAUAUUGCACAAUGGGGGAAACCCUGAUGCAGCAACGCCGCGUGAGUGAAGAAGUAUUUCGGUAUGUAAAGCUCUAUCAGCAGGGAAGAAGAUGACGGUACCUGAGUAAGAAGCNCCGGCUAACUACGUACCAGCAGCCGCGGUAAUACGUAGGGGGCAAGCGUUAUCCGGAUUUACUGGGUGUAAAGGGAGCGUAGACGGUGAGACAAGUCUGAAGUGAAAGCCCGGGGCUCAACCCCGGGACUGCUUUGGAAACUGCCUGACUGGAGUGCUGGAGAGGCAAGCGGAAUUCCUAGUGUAGCGGUGAAAUGCGUAGAUAUUAGGAAGAACACCAGUGGCGAAGGCGGCUUGCUGGACAGUAACUGACGUUGAGGCUCGAAAGCGUGGGGAGCAAACAGG